UUAUUGUGAUGAUUUAAAAUAUUUGUCAGUUCUGCUACUGAGUACUAAUGAAGAUAUACAUUUCUGAUAA